rnacentral:lncRNA from 13 species
UAUGACACUGGUUUGUAUGACACUGUUUUGUAUGACACUGUUUUGUAUGACACGGUUUGUAUGACACUGUUUUGUAUGACACUGUUUUGUAUGACACUGUUUUGUAUGACACUGGUUUGUAUGACACUGUUUUGUAUGGCACUGUUUUGUAUGACACAGUUUGUAUGACACUGUUUUGUAUGACACGGUUUCUAUGACACGGUUUGUAUGACACGGUUUGGAUGGCACUGCCUAAAUUGUAGGGGCAGCAGAGUGGAGGCCAGGGGAACUACCAUAUAAAUGUUGUAUGAGGUCUGUACAAUUAAUUUCUUCUCAUUGAUGUAGGAGGCGUUGAAAGGAUAUUCAAGGACUUGCUUCGUCGUUCCUUACUACUACAUAUAAUAUGAUUAAAUUAUAUAUUUACAUUAAAAACCAAAGUCUAUCAGAAUUCCAUUCAUUCCAAUAAAUGUUAUGCCCCUUGAUCUUCAAAAAUAGGACUUGGAAAUAUGGAAGUAUAGAUUAGCCAAAUUGUUUUACCUGAGCAUAACCCCAAAACAGAGGACUUAUUAGCCAGCCGUACUCUGUUGUUUAUGAUUUUGUUGUCAUGGAGGACUGAUUGGGCUCAUUGAUUUGAGUUGAAAAAUAAAUGUUGCGCUCAUGGUAUGGCAUGCUUUGAGCACUACUGAAAAGUGCUAUUUAAAUGUGAAAAAUGAAUGUCAUAUGAUGCAUUUGCUAUGGGCCUAUUGUUUACCUUUUUGUUGGUGACACUUUGAUAAAUUGAUAAUAUGCAGCUGUUUAAAGGGCAAAUCCACAGAUGAAACAAUAACAAAAUAUAACUACUCUCAGAUGAAUAGACAGAGCUAUGGAUACAAGGAUUGACCAUCCAUGAUAUCAAACAUAUUAUUUUAAAUAUGUUAUGAGGCUAUACAUGUUUGUUUACAUUUGUAAUGUUUACAAACAUUGGAGAAAAACAAGUUUAUAUUUGGGGUUCUCAUGGAGUGUGACAGUUGAACUAAGCUCAUGAGGCAUUUAUCA